GCCCGGGUGGCGAAAUUGGUAGACGCGCUCGUUUCAGGUGCGAGAGUCUUAACGGAUGUGCAGGUUCAAGUCCUGUCCCGGGCAC
rnacentral:tRNA from 1 species